GAGAAUGAUAGCCAGGCUGCAAGGGCUGCAGAAGGGCCGCGUGCCUGGGAGGCUUAGAGAGAGACUUCCGGGAUGAAAGUUGAACUCCGUGUCCUGGACUCCCCCUCUCCCCAUCCUGGGGCCUCCCAGAGGAGUUUCCCUCUUCUGUUCUUUUGGCUGUCUUCAGCGCUGUGCCUGGAGGUACCUCGAAUGCCCUCUUCAGAAGAGAGCGACGGGCGUGGCUUGUGGCCCAUUCAAGGAUGUGAAGUAGAGCGGCAGCAAUGGAUCGAUCCAUCAAUCUAUCGAUCGGCCCUGUGGUCUGUGCCUCAUUCAAGCUGUGCUCUGGCCUCCUGAGUAGUCCCAGCAGCCUUCGAAGCCACUGUGGACACCACUGUGGACCACGGGCUGCGUUUACAGUCAACAACUCUAGUUUACUGAGGAGAAAACAAGACUUUUAUUAAGCCAGUUUUGCCCAGGGCCUCUUAACCAAGAAGUGAGAGUUGGAACUUGAAUCCAGAUCCCUGUGGUUUCAAAGCCAGGCUCAUUUAUCACUCGCAAAGGCUGGUGCUGGGACACCUGCCGGGGAGCUGGUCUGCUGGCUGAGGGGUCCAGCAUCGGCUUUUCUUGGUCUCUCUAGAGCCCUGAGCUUUAAUUCUGUAGUUCACCUGUCGUGUUCCUCCAAUGUCUGCUGCACAUAUCCCUUCCCUGGAGAUGUUUGGCAUGUUAGG